rnacentral:sRNA from 1 species
ACGACCUGCUCGACUGAAGCGGAGGCUGAGCGCGCAGGUUUCCUGCGCGCUCAGCCUCCGCAUCAGGCGGCGACGAGC